rnacentral:rRNA from 1 species
GGGUUGUGAGGUUAAGCGACUAAGCGUACACGGUGGAUGCCCUGGCAGUCAGAGGCGAUGAAGGACGUGCUAAUCUGCGAUAAGCGUCGGUAAGGUGAUAUGAACCGUUAUAACCGGCGAUUUCCGAAUGGGGAAACCCAGUGUGAUUCGUCACACUAUCAUUAACUGAAUCCAUAGGUUAAUGAGGCGAACCGGGGGAACUGAAACAUCUAAGUACCCCGAGGAAAAGAAAUCAACCGAGAUUCCCCCAGUAGCGGCGAGCGAACGGGGAGCAGCCCAGAGCCUGAAUCAGUGUGUGUGUUAGUGGAAGCGUCUGGAAAGGCGCGCGAUACAGGGUGACAGCCCCGUACACAAAAAUGCACAUGCUGUGAGCUCGAUGAGUAGGGCGGGACACGUGGUAUCCUGUCUGAAUAUGGGGGGACCAUCCUCCAAGGCUAAAUACUCCUGACUGACCGAUAGUGAACCAGUACCGUGAGGGAAAGGCGAAAAGAACCCCGGCGAGGGGAGUGAAAAAGAACCUGAAACCGUGUACGUACAAGCAGUGGGAGCACGCUUAGGCGUGUGACUGCGUACCUUUUGUAUAAUGGGUCAGCGACUUAUAUUCUGUAGCAAGGUUAACCGAAUAGGGGAGCCGAAGGGAAACCGAGUCUUAACUGGGCGUUAAGUUGCAGGGUAUAGACCCGAAACCCGGUGAUCUAGCCAUGGGCAGGUUGAAGGUUGGGUAACACUAACUGGAGGACCGAACCGACUAAUGUUGAAAAAUUAGCGGAUGACUUGUGGCUGGGGGUGAAAGGCCAAUCAAACCGGGAGAUAGCUGGUUCUCCCCGAAAGCUAUUUAGGUAGCGCCUCGUGAAUUCAUCUCCGGGGGUAGAGCACUGUUUCGGCAAGGGGGUCAUCCCGACUUACCAACCCGAUGCAAACUGCGAAUACCGGAGAAUGUUAUCACGGGAGACACACGGCGGGUGCUAACGUCCGUCGUGAAGAGGGAAACAACCCAGACCGCCAGCUAAGGUCCCAAAGUCAUGGUUAAGUGGGAAACGAUGUGGGAAGGCCCAGACAGCCAGGAUGUUGGCUUAGAAGCAGCCAUCAUUUAAAGAAAGCGUAAUAGCUCACUGGUCGAGUCGGCCUGCGCGGAAGAUGUAACGGGGCUAAACCAUGCACCGAAGCUGCGGCAGCGACGCUUAUGCGUUGUUGGGUAGGGGAGCGUUCUGUAAGCCUGUGAAGGUGUGCUGUGAGGCAUGCUGGAGGUAUCAGAAGUGCGAAUGCUGACAUAAGUAACGAUAAAGCGGGUGAAAAGCCCGCUCGCCGGAAGACCAAGGGUUCCUGUCCAACGUUAAUCGGGGCAGGGUGAGUCGACCCCUAAGGCGAGGCCGAAAGGCGUAGUCGAUGGGAAACAGGUUAAUAUUCCUGUACUUGGUGUUACUGCGAAGGGGGGACGGAGAAGGCUAUGUUGGCCGGGCGACGGUUGUCCCGGUUUAAGCGUGUAGGCUGGUUUUCCAGGCAAAUCCGGAAAAUCAAGGCUGAGGCGUGAUGACGAGGCACUACGGUGCUGAAGCAACAAAUGCCCUGCUUCCAGGAAAAGCCUCUAAGCAUCAGGUAACAUCAAAUCGUACCCCAAACCGACACAGGUGGUCAGGUAGAGAAUACCAAGGCGCUUGAGAGAACUCGGGUGAAGGAACUAGGCAAAAUGGUGCCGUAACUUCGGGAGAAGGCACGCUGAUAUGUAGGUGAAGUCCCUCGCGGAUGGAGCUGAAAUCAGUCGAAGAUACCAGCUGGCUGCAACUGUUUAUUAAAAACACAGCACUGUGCAAACACGAAAGUGGACGUAUACGGUGUGACGCCUGCCCGGUGCCGGAAGGUUAAUUGAUGGGGUCAGCGCAAGCGAAGCUCUUGAUCGAAGCCCCGGUAAACGGCGGCCGUAACUAUAACGGUCCUAAGGUAGCGAAAUUCCUUGUCGGGUAAGUUCCGACCUGCACGAAUGGCGUAAUGAUGGCCAGGCUGUCUCCACCCGAGACUCAGUGAAAUUGAACUCGCUGUGAAGAUGCAGUGUACCCGCGGCAAGACGGAAAGACCCCGUGAACCUUUACUAUAGCUUGACACUGAACAUUGAGCCUUGAUGUGUAGGAUAGGUGGGAGGCUUGGAAGUGUGGACGCCAGUCUGCAUGGAGCCGACCUUGAAAUACCACCCUUUAAUGUUUGAUGUUCUAACGUUGACCCGUAAUCCGGGUUGCGGACAGUGUCUGGUGGGUAGUUUGACUGGGGCGGUCUCCUCCUAAAGAGUAACGGAGGAGCACGAAGGUUGGCUAAUCCUGGUCGGACAUCAGGAGGUUAGUGCAAUGGCAUAAGCCAGCUUGACUGCGAGCGUGACGGCGCGAGCAGGUGCGAAAGCAGGUCAUAGUGAUCCGGUGGUUCUGAAUGGAAGGGCCAUCGCUCAACGGAUAAAAGGUACUCCGGGGAUAACAGGCUGAUACCGCCCAAGAGUUCAUAUCGACGGCGGUGUUUGGCACCUCGAUGUCGGCUCAUCACAUCCUGGGGCUGAAGUAGGUCCCAAGGGUAUGGCUGUUCGCCAUUUAAAGUGGUACGCGAGCUGGGUUUAGAACGUCGUGAGACAGUUCGGUCCCUAUCUGCCGUGGGCGCUGGAGAACUGAGGGGGGCUGCUCCUAGUACGAGAGGACCGGAGUGGACGCAUCACUGGUGUUCGGGUUGUCAUGCCAAUGGCACUGCCCGGUAGCUAAAUGCGGAAGAGAUAAGUGCUGAAAGCAUCUAAGCACGAAACUUGCCCCGAGAUGAGUUCUCCCUGACUCCUUGAGAGUCCUGAAGGAACGUUGAAGACGACGACGUUGAUAGGCCGGGUGUGUAAGCGCAGCGAUGCGUUGAGCUAACCGGUACUAAUGAACCGUGAGGCUUAACCUUACAACGCCGAAG